AGUAAAAUGACUGAAUUAUAGGUGAUAAAUUGUAAAUUUAUUGAUGAAUAAAAAUCUUUUACUA
rnacentral:tRNA from 1 species